CAUUGCCUUAGACUGGUGCGCCACUAGCGCCCCAAAGAUAAUAUGACAUGAAUUGCAGACAUCUCAGAACAAAUUAGUCAGGAUUAUUCUUAAACUUCCAGCAUUUAGGCAUCUUGACCAUUCCCACUUUGAAAGCCUUUAGAUGGCUCAAAGUGGAGGAGAGUCUCUCAGAUGAAGUUGUAUGGUCCCCAGGUACCUAUGUAACUACUUUAACUUGGUACGGGAUAACCAUAACUAUUCCACUAGAUUGAGUGAAACUGAUGUUGUUCCUUUAGAUUUAAAAGUGGUAUUGGGAAAUACACUUUUUUAUACUCAGCUGCCAUUCUUUGGAAUAAUCUUCCUAAGAAUUUGAAUAAUCUGCCAUAUGUAGUUUCAAGUUCUUACUGAAAAAAAUGGCUAAAUAGUAGUAUUGUCUCAAAAGCGAGUCGUAAGAUUAUAGUAUGUGGCUGAGAAGGAAAAUGCAUAUGGUCUGCGUUUUGGUGCCUGUUAUCAUAUUGUGAUUGUCUUGUAUAUAUUAGGUAUUGGUUGUUUUAUAUAUUAAGGGCAUGUGAGACAAGGGAGAUGUACCUGUCCAUAGUUGUUUAUUAGGAAAGGGAAUUGUACUAAUUAUUUCAUGUUAUGACUCAAACAUCAUUGUCUGUUGACAUUACAAUUGCCACUUAACCAUGUUGCAUACCUCCUUCCCUCUUCAAAAGGACAAUAAUGGAAUAAGAUUUUAAGCUUUGUCGUGUUAUCCUUGAUGAUUUUCUUAAAUUGUAUGUGGAUGCGUCACUGGCUGGAGCGCCCUUAUGUUUUUAUUUUGUAUUGUCUUCUAAAUUAAAUCAAUCAAUCAACACAGGCAUAAUAAGAUAUAUAUAGCUAGCUGUAAAGUAAUGAGUGACCAUGAUCAAAACGCGUGGGGUACGUCUGCAGCCUUCCAUCUCGAAAGCUUGAUAUAAAUAUAUUUUCUUGAAUGCUCAUGUGAUUUACACCUUUCAGUAAGCAAAUUAUUUUCACUCCGUUGGGAGAUGACCGCUCCGCGUCGUUCAUAGCCAGCCCUCUGUCAGCUACUACAUCCAAACAGCGCUCAGCCCAUCAAAACACUUCUCAAACAAAACUUUCCCAUGGAGUAAAAUUGACGGUCGACAUAGGGCUUUACAACCAUCCUAAAAUAUAUGCAAUAUGACAUAAUCAGGGCAACUCGUUCAUUCUUAGCCGGCCUGCUGUCUAACCUAACAUAUACAGGCAUACUUAUUCAUUUUCAUGGUUGGGAGGAUUUUCAGAAAAUAUCCACCGAGGCUCAGCCAAUCGUUACAUUACAACAGAAUGCAGCGCAGCACAUGACUGAAGAAAGAAGAGAACCAAUUGACUAGUUACCGCAUCAGCGCUCUCUGGAAAGGCAGCUUGCCAGUUACAGCAGCGCGUCCCCUCAGCGAUAACGAAGAGGUAAGUUAGGCGAGAAGACCACGGAGGCGGGUUGAGAGAGGUGAUUACUUUACCUAUGAGGGCGUGGGAAGGAUCAGGGAAGGGAGAAGAUGAUAAUGCACUGGGUAGGUGGUCCACCUUCCCUGUGGCCGACAUGGUUGCUGUAUGGACAGCGGAGAGGACAUGGACGUCUCGUUUGUCAUGCCACUUUACUGCCAGUUGUUGACCAUUCUCAGUGAACUCAACCUCCCCUCUGCAUCUUCCUGCAUCCGAAUGCCGACAUCCCCUUCCUAUUCGACCUGACUGUGCCACAGGCCCCUGUGCUGUUGGAGAACAGAUGCUGGAAGAGUGUGGGACUGCUGUACCAAUUGUCCACAUACAAACUGUGCCCCUUGCCUAGAUGAGGAGCCAGCAUGGUCAUCACCGUGGACACGAACACCCCAAGCCCCUCAUAAUGUUGGAUGUCAGUGGUAGACCCUGUGUAGACUAUAAUGUCCUGGACAAAUCCUAUCUUCACUUCGGACAUGACAAAGAACGUGACUCCAAACCUGUGUCUUUUGGAGGGAAUAUAUUGACGGAACACCAGCCUACCCUUCCAUAACAUCAGGGACUCAUCAAUGCAUAGAUCCUUGUAUGGCAACCCGACCAAAUGCUGAUGUCAGGCUGCGCCAAGGCAUAGUGAUUGGUCUCCUCUAUGUCUCCCACCAACUCCUCUGUCAGAAACAGCUUGAAGCACUCUGCCUCAGAGGGAAAUGGCAAGGGGCUUUGCACUCCAGACUGGGACUCAUCAAAGCGAACAGCAAGGCCAGAAGGGGUGAAAUGGCUGGCGGCCUUCCAGCUACCACAGAACUCCUGUACUGCAUCCACUGUCGGUCUGCCUCCAUCACCACCAGCAUCUUCAAAGAAACCUGGGACUUUGUCAGUAGACAAGGGGCCCUCAGAUUCAGGGUUGUCAAUGGCUACAAGGUUGGGGGGCAGCUCCUCACUGUCAGAAUCCGAUUCCUGACUUUCAAUACUCAGACUCAUUGUCAGAAUUUAUAAAAAAUCUCCAGAAUUUCCACAUUUGUGAGUGGUCUCCUUUUGAAAGACAUUGCUAAUGCUAUAGCUUAGCUCACUAGCUACAUGGGAGAGGUUACGUGAUUGACUGCUUGCCCACGCCACUUGUAUCAAUAAAUCACUAUCAGAAAAUGUUUUGUGUGGUAAUUA